rnacentral:rRNA from 1 species
UACGGAGGAUGCGAGCGUUAUCCGGAUUUAUUGGGUUUAAAGGGUGCGUAGGCGGACUGUCAAGUCAGCAGUAAAAUUGAGAGGCUCAACCUCUUCCCGCCGUUGAAACUGGUGGUCUUGAGUGGAUGAGAAGUACGCGGAAUGCGUGGUGUAGCGGUGAAAUGCAUAGAUAUCACGCAGAACUCCGAUUGCGAAGGCAGCGUACCGGCAUCCAACUGACGCUGAGGCACGAAAGCGUGGGGAUCAAACAGG